GAUGAACGCUGGCGGCGUGCCUAACACAUGCAAGUCGAGCGAAGCGCUUAAAUUAGAUUUCUUCGGAAUUGCGAGUUUUGUGACUGAGCGGCGGACGGGUGAGUACCGCGUUGGUAACCUGCCUCGUACAGGGGGGUAACAGCUAGAAAUUAUUGUUAAUACCGCAUAAGACCCCAUCUUCGCAUUAAGCGCUGGUAAAAAGGCGUGUGGUAUGAGAUGUACCGGCGUCUGUUUAGCUAGUUGGUAAGGUAACGGCUUACCAAGGCUGCGAUCGGUAGCCGGCGUGAGAGGGUGACCGGCCACAGUGGGAGUGAGAGCCGGCCCAGACUCGUACGGGAGGAAGCAGUGGGGAAUAAUGCAGGAUCGGGGAACCGAUGCAGCAGCGACGCGGGGAGAAGGAAGAAGUAUUUCGGGAAGUGAACUUCCAUCAGCAGGGAAGAAAGUGACGGUACCUGAAGAAGAAGCCACGGCUAACUACGUG
rnacentral:rRNA from 1 species